GUUUGAGAACCAAGUCAUGCCACUCAUCCUCCCAGGGUACAGUUAAAUCUAUCUUAGGGUGAAAAUGCCCCGAGCAACAAGGCAAAGCGUCGUGAAGCGGCUGUUGGGCACUGUGCUGGGGCUUUUGUGCACCCACGUUUACUGUGUGAGAGGGUUGCAGGUGGAGCAGAGUCCCCCAGCCUUGAUUCUCCAGGAAGGAGCCAGUUCCACGCUGUGGUGCAAUUUUUCCACCUCUGUGAACAACGUUCAGUGGUUUCGCCAAAAUCCUGGAGGUCGCCUUGUCAACCUGUUUUACGUUCCUUCAGGGACAAAGUGGAAUGGAAACUUAAAAGCUACGACAGACCCUAAGGAACGCAGCAGUUCAUUGCAUGUUUCCUCCUCCCAGACCACAGACUCGGCCAUUUACUUCUGUGCUGUGGAGCCACAGUGCUUCCCAGGCACCUGCAGCCUGAACACAAACCCUCAGCUGGGCCCAGCUCCUCCUCCAACCACACGCACAUCACAAGAUCACCACACAGCAUUUGCACAGCUCAAUAUUUCAAACCCACACUGGUAGGGCUUUAACCACAGAGGCUUUUUGCUCUUGAGUUUGGGAUGUUGGUCUUUGUCUUUCCUUCUUAAUCUACACCUCUUUAUGCACUAUAAACUUCUAACUUGGAACCAGUAGAGAAGCUGAUAAGAGGACAGAAUUAAUAUAAAUAUUUAAGCCACAGUAUGCUUGACUUCCAAAAGAGCAAAAAAACCCGAAAGGAAUAAAAAGAAAAGAAAAAGUACUCCAAUAGAGAUGUUGUUGCACACUGAUCCAGCUCAGGGGGUGUCUCAGGAAUGCUCAGGUCAGCCUCACCACAAUGUGCCCCAAGACAAUGGCAAAUACUUAUAUCUCAUCCUGCUAGUGCGGCAAAGAAAACAACAUAAUUUUUGCUAAAUGAUCAGAUAUUGAUAAAUCUGUGGGAAAAAAACUUUAAGAUGUAUAUUUCAUUCAACUAAGUCCCAGUCAUGUUCUUGAGGCUUGUUUGUCCUAGGAUAUGGUCAAUCCUGGAGAGGGUUCCCUCCAUGAAGAAAAAGUAUGUACUCUGUUCUUCAGGGUGGAUGUCUGUUAGGUCUACUUGGUUUAUAGUUUUGUU